CAAUAGCGUAUAUUAAAGUUGUUGCAGUUAAAAAGCUCGUAGUUGGAUUUUUGCUUGCCGCCGAUGUCGGAACUUCCGUACGUUCGGCGGCGUGCAUCCUUGGGUGGAACCUGUGUGGCAUUAGGUUGUCGUGCAGGGGAUGCUCAUCGUUUACUGUGAAAAAAUUAGAGUGUUCAAAGCAGGCUUACGCCGUUGAAUAUAUUAGCAUGGAAUAAUAAGAUAGGACCUUGGUACUAUUUUGUUGGUUUGCGCACCGAGGUAAUGAUUAACAGGGACAGUUGGGGGUAUUCGUAUUCCAUUGUCAGAGGUGAAAUUCUUGGAUUUCUGGAAGACGUACUACUGCGAAAGCAUUUACCAAGGAUGUUUUCAUUAA
rnacentral:rRNA from 1 species